rnacentral:sRNA from 1 species
ACAACAUUGAAACCAUUUCUGUGAAUGUAGCGGAAACUGCACAAGUCAAAGAUGAGUUUGCUGAUUUAUUUUAAGAUUAACCGUUUAUCCUUUUCUGGAUAAACGGUUUUUGUAU